AGAGUUUGAUCCUGGCUCAGGACGAACGCUGGCGGCGUGCCUAAUACAUGCAAGUCGAGCGCAGGAAGCUCACGGAACUCUUCGGAGGGAAGUGAAGGGAAUGAGCGGCGGACGGGUGAGUAACACGUAAGGAACCUGCCCCAAGGAUUGGGAUAACUCCGAGAAAUCGGAGCUAAUACCGAAUAGUUCUUCAGACCGCAUGGUCUGAUGAUGAAAGGCGCUCCGGCGUCACCUUGGGAUGGCCUUGCGGUGCAUUAGCUAGUUGGUGGGGUAAUGGCCCACCAAGGCGACGAUGCAUAGCCGACCUGAGAGGGUGAUUGGCCACACUGGGACUGUGACACGGCCCAGACUCCUACGGGAGGCAGCAGUAGGGAAUCUUCCGCAAUGGACGAAAGUCUGACGGAGCAACGCCGCGUGAGUGAUGAAGGAUUUUNCUUCGUAAAGGAAAAAUGUUAGGGAAGAACAAGUACCGUUUCCCAUAGGGCGGNAAAAAAGAACGGUACCUAACCAGAAAGCCACGGCUAACUACGUGCCAGCAGCCGCGGUAAUACGUAGGUGGNAANCNUUGUCCGGAAUUAUUGGGCGUAAAGCGCGCGCAGGCGGUCUUUUAAGUCUGAUGUGAAAGCCCACGGCUCAACCGUGGAGGGUCAUUGGAAACUGGGAGACUUGAGUACAGAAGAGGAGAGUGGAAUUCCACGUGUAGCGGUGAAAUGCGUAGAUAUGUGGAGGAACACCAGUGGCGAAGGCGACUCUCUGGUCUGUAACUGACGCUGAGGCGCGAAAGCGUGGGGAGCAAACAGGAUUAGAUACCCUGGUAGUCCACGCCGUAAACGAUGAGUGCUAGGUGUUAGGGGUUUCGAUGCCCUUAGUGCCGAAGUUNACCAUUUUUUNGCACUCCGCCUGGGGAGUACGACCGCAAGGUUGAAACUCAAAGGAAUUGACGGGGGCCCGCACAAGCAGUGGAGCAUGUGGUUUAAUUCGAAGCAACGCGAAGAACCUUACCAGGUCUUGACAUCCUUUGACCACCCUAGAGAUAGGGCUUUCCCCUUCGAGGGGACAAAGUGACAGGUGAGUGCAUGGUUGUCGUCAGCUCGUGUCGUGUGAUGUUGGGUUAAAGUCCCGCAACGAGCGCAACCCUUGAUCUUAGUUGCCAGCAUUCAGUUGGGCACUCUAAGGUGACUGCCGGUGACANACCGGAGGAAGGUGGGGNCGACGUCAAAUCNUCAUGCCCCUUAUGACCUGGGCUACACACGUGCUACNAUGGAUGGUACANAGAGCAGCAAANCCGCGAGGUCGAGCCAAUCUCAUAAAGCCAUUCUCAGUUCGGAUUGUAGGCUGCAACUCGCCUACAUGAAGCCGGAAUUGCUAGUAAUCGCGGAUCAGCAUGCCGCGGUGAAUACGUUCCCGGGCCUUGUACNCUCCNCCCGUCACACCACGGGNGUNAAUAACACCCGAAGUCGGUGGGGUAACCCUUUUGGGAGCUAGCCGCCUAAGGUGGGACAGAUGUUUUCCCGAAGUCGUGGGAAAAGUAGCCGUAUCGGAAGGUGNNUUUUCCCCACCUCCGNNAAAAUCGAAUUCC
rnacentral:rRNA from 1 species